UACGUAGGGGGCAAGCGUUGUCCGGAUUUAUUGGGCGUAAAGCGCGCGCAGGCGGUCCUUUAAGUCUGAUGUGAAAUCUUGCGGCUCAACCGCAAGCGGUCAUUGGAAACUGGGGGACUUGAGUACAGAAGAGGAAAGCGGAAUUCCACGUGUAGCGGUGAAAUGCGUAGAGAUGUGGAGGAACACCAGUGGCGAAGGCGGCUCACUGGUCCGGUACUGACGCUGAGGUGCGAAAGCGUGGGGAGCAAACAGG
rnacentral:rRNA from 1 species